AAGCUUGCUUCUCUGAUGUUAGCGGCGGACGGGUGAGUAACACGUGGAUAACCUACCUAUAAGACUGGGAUAACUUCGGGAAACCGGAGCUAAUACCGGAUAAUAUUUUGAACCGCAUGGUUCAAAAGUGAAAGACGGUCUUGCUGUCACUUAUAGAUGGAUCCGCGCUGCAUUAGCUAGUUGGUAAGGUAACGGCUUACCAAGGCAACGAUGCAUAGCCGACCUGAGAGGGUGAUCGGCCACACUGGAACUGAGACACGGUCCAGACUCCUACGGGAGGCAGCAGUAGGGAAUCUUCCGCAAUGGGCGAAAGCCUGACGGAGCAACGCUGGAGUGAAUGAAAGGUUUUUCGGGAUUGGUAAAACUCUUGUUUAUUAGGGAAAGAAACAUAUUGGUGUAAGUAACCUGUGCCCCAUUCUUGACCGGUACCUUAUUCAGAAAAGCCACCGGCUUAAUUACGGUGCCAGCAGGCCGCCGGUAAUUACGUAAGGUGGCCAAGCGUUUUUCCGGAAUUAUUUGGGCGUAAAACCCCGGGUAGGCGGUUUUUUUAAUUCUGAUGUGAAAGCCCCACGGCUCAACCCGUGGAGGGUCAUUGGAAACUGGAAAACUUGAGUGCAGAAGAGGAAAGUGGAAUUCCAUGUGUAGCGGUGAAAUGCGCAGAGAUAUGGAGGAACACCAGUGGCGAAGGCGACUUUCUGGUCUGUAACUGACGCUGAUGUGCGAAAGCGUGGGGAUCAAACAGGAUUAGAUACCCUGGUAGUCCACGCCGUAAACGAUGAGUGCUAAGUGUUAGGGGGUUUCCGCCCCUUAGUGCUGCAGCUAACGCAUUAAGCACUCCGCCUGGGGAGUACGACCGCAAGGUUGAAACUCAAAGGAAUUGACGGGGACCCGCACAAGCGGUGGAGCAUGUGGUUUAAUUCGAAGCAACGCGAAGAACCUUACCAAAUCUUGACAUCCUUUGACAACUCUAGAGAUAGAGCUUUCCCCUUCGGGGGACAAAGUGACAGGUGGUGCAUGGUUGUCGUCAGCUCGUGUCGUGAGAUGUUGGGUUAAGUCCCGCAACGAGCGCAACCCUUAAGCUUAGUUGCCAUCAUUAAGUUGGGCACUCUAAGUUGACUGCCGGUGACAAACCGGAGGAAGGUGGGGAUGACGUCAAAUCAUCAUGCCCCUUAUGAUUUGGGCUACACACGUGCUACAAUGGACAAUACAAAGGGCAGCGAAACCGCGAGGUCAAGCAAAUCCCAUAAAGUUGUUCUCAGUUCGGAUUGUAGUCUGCAACUCGACUACAUGAAGCUGGAAUCGCUAGUAAUCGUAGAUCAGCAUGCUACGGUGAAUACGUUCCCGGGUCUUGUACACACCGCCCGUCACACCACGAGAGUUUGUAACACCCGAAGCCGGUGGAGUAACCUUUUAGGAGCUAGCCGUCGAAGGGU
rnacentral:rRNA from 1 species